UUUCGUUUUCGAAGGUCGGCUGU
rnacentral:miRNA from 1 species